GGAAAGCCGCCGGCUCGCCGCCUGCACUAGUGCCGGAACGUGUGCGAGAGGGAGCGAGGGAGACACACGCACUCACACACCCGCACACACGGGAGCGCCGCGAGGGGAGGGGGGAGAGGGGAGGGGAGGGCAGCCGCUCUCCGCCGCCCACGUUUGCACGCCUGGGCGCUCAGGGUGCGGGGCGAAGGGACUCCUUUUUGCUUCUCCGCGAUCUCAGCAGUUGAAGCUCCGCGUCACGAAAGGUCCGGACAGCAGUUAAUGAACACAGCGAACCGGGUGGGCCAAGUGGGGUCGGAGCAGGGCUGAACGUCCGCUCUGCAGCCGGCCCGCGGCAGGGACAGACCUCUCUUGCCAUUGCCCCCUCCAGCCCUCGAGACCAGUCCCCACCCUACCGGAGCCUGGGGCAGCGCGCUGCCAGAGCGGGAGUUGGGGUUUCUGCAAGCCUUUGCCUCUCCCUAGUGGUGAUACUCGCAGCCAGGAGAAGAGGUCAAACCCAUUGCUACAGGUUCCCAAACUGAGUCCAUGGGUCAAGUGGCUUGUCUGAGGCUGUUGCUCGACCCAUGAGCUGAGCCUACACUCUCUUCCUGUUGGUCACUCUUUCCCCAACCCCAUCCCCACUGCGCAGAAAGGCGCUGGACAGCCCCAGCACUGGAUGGCAACUCUUUGCUAGACUUUUUUUUUCCCCCCUGCGGAGCCUGGAGGGCAUUAGAAAGCUGUCUGAACCUCUGAGACUCAGCUUUACUGUAACCCCUGUGUUGAAAUCUCUGUGCUGCAGCUACUAUGGAAGCAACUGGAUUUGAGGCCUAUUAUUGCAGCAUAUCCUAGCCCACGCAUCCCUAUACAACACUGAGGUUGUCAGCUGAAAAGAUGGACAGAACAUCAUUGGGCUACUCAAAGAGCUAUGCUCAAGGCCUUCCCAUCUCUGGUCUUCCAGUAAGGUGAGGGCUGGGAGCUGAAGAUGGAAGGAGCAGCACAGGUCAACAUGUGAGAGAUAUGACAAGUGGCCAUUCCUAACUGAUGUCAUCAAGGUGCCUCUAAACAUAGGAUUUAGGCCAAGCACCUCUAGUUCUCCAAAAGCAGUUGGGAGAAGAUGCAGAUACAGGUUCAGGCACAUGGGACUGGAGCUGGUGGAGCCAUCUGAAUCUCUCCUCGUUCACUCCUCUGGUGCCUAUGGUGCAAGCCAUCCAAGUGGCUAGGAUAUCCAAAGUCUACUGAGGUCUAAAAAUGCUAAAGGUAACAUCAGUGUCAAAGAAGCUAUUGCCAGAAAAAAAAGAACAAAC